UACGUAGGGGGCAAGCGUUGUCCGGAUUUACUGGGCGUAAAGAGCGCGUAGGCGGAAGCUUAAGUGUGGCCUGAAAGCCCCCGGCUCAACCGGGGAAGGUGGCUGCAAACUGGGCUUCUUGAGGGGGAUAGAGGAAAGUGGAAUUCCGGGUGUAGCGGUGAAAUGCGUAGAGAUCGGGAGGAACACCAGAGGCGAAGGCGGCGACCUGGACAGGUACUGACACUCAACUACGAAAGCGUGGGGAGCAAACAGG
rnacentral:rRNA from 1 species